UGAAGGGGUGCUGCACUCUUGCGGCUGAGAUUAUACCCUAUGAACCUGAUGCGGAUAAUGCCGCCGUAGGAAACGGA
rnacentral:ncRNA from 1 species